GGAUCGGAGUCUGCAACCCGACUCCGUGAAGCUGGAUUCGCUAGUAAUCGCGCAUCAGCCAUGGCGCGGUGAAUACGUUCCCGGGCCUUGUACACACCGCCCGUCAAGCCAUGGAAGCCGGGGGCGCUUGAAGUGCGUUGCCGCAAGGCGCGCCCUAGAGCGAAACCGGUGACUGGGGCUAAGUCGUAACAAGGUAGC
rnacentral:rRNA from 1 species